UGACGAUUUCUUCGUGGCUCAGAUCUUCCCAAGAU
rnacentral:sRNA from 1 species